AAACGAAACGGAAGAACGACCCGCGAACCGUCCCCACCUACCGAACGGAGGUCGCGAGCCGAAACGCUCGCGUCCCUCGCGUCGCGUCGGCGCGGGCCUUCCCCGGAGGCCGGCGUCGUCCCGACAAACGAACAUCGUCAGCACGAAUCGUGCCAAGGACCCGUAAAAGGCGAGAAUCGCCGUCCCCGGCCCCCGGUCGUUCUCGGCGGGGGGCGCGGGACGCGCGCGAUCUAUGCUCUAAGUCUUUAAUGACUCUCGGCAACGGAUAUCUCGGCUCUUGCAUCGAUGAAGAACGUAGCGAAAUGCGAUACUUGGUGUGAAUUGCAGAAUCCCGCGAACCAUCAAUUCUUUGAACGCAAGUUGCGCCCGAAGCCAUUUGGCCGAGGGCACGCCUGCCUGGGCGUCGUGAAUCCCCUUGCCCCCCGGAACCCGCGCGAGCAUCGUCGCGGGUUUUCCCGGGCGCAGAAUAUGGUCUCCCGUCGCAUCGGCGUGCGCGGCACGCCGUGGUACGGUUGGCCGAAAAUCGAGCAUUGCGACGUCGGGCUGCACGGCGCUAGGUGGAUCGAACGCGAUUGGCUGCGCCGUGGUCCCGUCGUGCCGCGGGCUCAGGACUAGGACGGUUCCCCAGUGCGAUCCCGG
rnacentral:rRNA from 1 species